rnacentral:rRNA from 1 species
UACAGAGGGGGCAAGCGUUGUUCGGAAUUACUGGGCGUAAAGGGCGCGUAGGCGGCCCGCUAAGUCGAACGUGAAAUCCCCGAGCUCAACUCGGGAACUGCGUCCGAUACUGGCGGGCUUGAAUCCGGGAGAGGGAUGCGGAAUUCCAGGUGUAGCGGUGAAAUGCGUAGAUAUCUGGAGGAACACCGGUGGCGAAGGCAGCCCCCUGGGCUGAGAUUGACGCUCAGGCACGAAAGCGUGGGGAGCAAACAGG